AGAGUUUGAUCAUGGCUCAGAAUCAACGCUGGCGGCGUGCCUAACACAUGCAAGUCGCACGAGAAAGUGGAGCAAUCCAUGAGUAAAGUGGCGCACGGGUGAGUAACACGUGAAUCAUCUACCUCCGAGUGGGGAAUAACUGAGAGAAAUCUUAGCUAAUACCGCAUAAUACCCACGGGUCAAAGCAGCAAUGCGCUUGGAGAGGAGUUCGCGGCCGAUUAGUUAGUUGGCGGGGUAAUGGCCCACCAAGACGAUGAUCGGUAUCCGGCCUGAGAGGGCGCACGGACACACUGGAACUGAAACACGGUCCAGACUCCUACGGGAGGCAGCAGUGGGGAAUUUUGCGCAAUGGGGGAAACCCUGACGCAGCAACGCCGCGUGGAGGAUGAAAUCCCUUGGGAUGUAAACUCCUUUCGAUAGGGAAGAUAAUGACGGUACCUAUAGAAGAAGCCCCGGCUAACUUCGUGCCAGCAGCCGCGGUAAUACGAGGGGGGCAAGCGUUGUUCGGAAUUAUUGGGCGUAAAGGGUGCGUAGGCGGUUUGACAAGUCUGAUGUGAAAUCUAUGGGCUCAACCCAUAGUCUGCAUCGGAAACUGUCGGGCUUGAGUAUGGGAGAGGUGAGUGGAAUUUCCGGUGUAGCGGUGAAAUGCGUAGAUAUCGGAAGGAACACCUGUGGCGAAAGCGGCUCACUGGACCAUUACUGACGCUGAUGCACGAAAGCUAGGGGAGCAAACAGGAUUAGAUACCCUAGUAGUCC
rnacentral:rRNA from 1 species